rnacentral:rRNA from 1 species
UCAAGAAACUUCCACAAUGGGCGAAAGCCUGAUGGAGCGACGUCGCGUGAUGGACGAAGUGCUUCGGCACGUAAACAUCUUUAUGUGGGAUGAAAUUAUUGACAGUACCACAUGAAUAAGGGGCUCCUAACUCUGUGCCAGCAGGAGCGGUAAUACAGAGGCCCCAAGCGUUAUCCGGAAUCACUGGGCGUAAAGGGUGUCGAGGCGGUUGUAUUAGUCGUUCGUAAAAUCUACGAGCUUGACUUGUAGGCGGCGAACGAAACGGUACGACUUGAGGUUUGGAGAGGUGCGUGGAACUCACGGUGUAGGGGUGAAAUCCGUUGAUAUCGUGGGGAACACCAAAGGCGAAGGCAGCGCACUGGCCAAAAUCUGACGCUCACACACGAAAGCUAGGGUAGCGAAGAGGAUUAGAUACCCAGGUAGUCCCUGAGCGGGCUGGCAAGGCGCAU